rfam:Picea glauca, whole genome shotgun sequence.
ACAUGUGUACAACAUAGCAUUAAUGCACCGGGUCCCAUUAGAAAUCCGCAUUUAAGCACACUCAGGCUAGAGUAGUACUGGGAUGGGUGACCACUCGGGAAUUCCUAGCGUUUUACAUGCC